UGCGUCAGUAGUCUGGGGGAGACGGUAGUACCCUCACUCAGCUCUACAACCAUGAAACCUCUCAUCAUCGUUCUCCUGGCCUCGGCUGUUCUCCUGGUCUCCGUGGCCGGCAGACGUCAUCCAGGUGGAGGUGGAGGAGGAUUUGGAGGAGGUGGUGGUGGAGGAUUUGGAGGUGGU